ACCCGCUGAACUUAAGCAUAUCAAUAAGCGGAGGAAAAGAAACCAACAGGGAUUGCCCUAGUAACGGCGAGUGAAGCGGCAACAGCUCAAAUUUGAAAUCUGGCUUCGGCCCGAGUUGUAAUUUGCAGAGGAUGCUUCUGGCGCGGUGCCUUCCGAGUUCCCUGGAACGGGACGCCACAGAGGGUGAGAGCCCCGUAUGGUCGGACACCAAGCCUGUGUGAAGCUCCUUCGACGAGUCGAGUAGUUUGGGAAUGCUGCUCUAAAUGGGAGGUAAAUCUCUUCUAAAGCUAAAUACCGGCCAGAGACCGAUAGCGCACAAGUAGAGUGAUCGAAAGAUGAAAAGCACCUUGAAAAGGGGGUUAAAUAGUACGUGAAAUUGUUGAAAGGGAAGCACUUAUGACCAGACUUGGGCCGGGCGGCUCAUCAGGGGUUCUCCCCUGUGCACUCCGCCCGGCACAGGCCAGCAUCGGUUCUCGUGGGGGGAUAAGACCGUCAGGAACGUAGCACCCUCCGGGGUGUGUUAUAGCCUGGCGGACGAUACCCCCGUGGGGACCGAGGUCCGCGCUCCGCAAGGAUGCUGGCGUAAUGGUCAUCAGUGACCCGUCUUGAAACACGGACCAAGGAGUCGUCCAUUAGAGCGAGCGUUUGGGUGUAAAACCCGCACGCGUAAUGAAAGUGAACGCAGGUGAGAGCUUCGGCGCAUCAUCGACCGAUCCUGAUGUUCUCGGAAGGAUUUGAGUAAGAGUUUUAACGGACGGACCCGAAAGACAGUGAACUAUGCUUGUAUAGGGUGAAGCCAGAGGAAACUCUGGUGGAGGCUCGCAGCGGUUCUGACGUGCAAAUCGAUCGUCAAA
rnacentral:rRNA from 1 species